rnacentral:rRNA from 1 species
UAUCCGGAUUUAAUGGGUUUAAAAGGGUGGGUAGGCGGCCCCUUAAGUCGGCGGUGAAAUUUCCGGGCUCAACCCGGUCACUGCCGUCGAAACUGGGGGGCUUGAGUGCGUUUGGGGUGGCUGGAAUGUGCGGUGUAGCGGUGAAAUGCAUAGAUAUCGCACAGAACGCCGAUCGCGGAGGCAGGUCACCAAGCCGCAACUGACGCUGAGGCACGAAAGCGCGGGGAUCGAACAGGAUUAGAUACCCUGGUAGUCCGCGCAGUAAACGAUGGACGCUCGCCGUUCGGCAUAGCGCCGAGUGGGCCAAGCGAAAGCGAUAAGCGUCCCACCUGGGGGAGUACGCCGGCAACGGUGAAACUCAAAGGAAUUGACGGGGGCCCGCACAAGCGGAGGAACAUGUGGUUUAAUUCGAUGAUACGCGAGGAACCUUACCCGGGCUUGAAAGUUAGCGACGGACCUGGAAACAGGUCUUCCCUUCGGGGCGCGAAACUAGGUGCUGCAUGGUUGUCGUCAGCUCGUGCCGUGAGGUGUCGGCUUAAGUGCCAUAACGAGCGCAACCCCUGCCGCCAGUUGCCAGCGAGUUAAGUUGGGGACUCUGGCGGGACUGCCACCGCAAGGUGCGAGGAAGGCGGGGAUGACGUCAAAUCAGCACGGCCCUUACGUCCGGGGCGACACACGUGUUACAAUGGGGGGUACAGAGGGCAGCGACCUGGCGGCAGGGAGCGAAUCUCAGAAAGCCCCUCUCAGUUCGGAUCGGAGUCUGCAACUCGACUCCGUGAAGCUGGAUUCGCUAGUAAUCGCGCAUCAGCCAUGGCGCGGUGAAUACAAUCCCGGGCCUUGUACUCACCGCCCGUCAAG